rnacentral:rRNA from 1 species
UACGGGGGGGGGCAAGCGUUGUUCGGAAUUACUGGGCGUAAAGGGCUCGUAGGCGGCCAACUAAGUCGGACGUGAAAUCCCUCGGCUUAACCUGGGAAUUGCGCUUGAAACUAGCGGGCUUGAGUGUGGCAGAGGGGGGUGGAAUUCCACGUGUAGCAGUGAAAUGCGUAGAGAUGUGGAGGAACACCGAUGGCGAAGGCAGCCCCCUGGGUCAACACUGACGCCUCAUGCACGAAAGCGUGGGGAGCAAACAGG